UGAUAAAAAAUAAAAAAAUAGAAUACUUACAUCAAACAUGUUUUGGAGGACCUAGUUUAAACUCAAAAUAGAUAAAAAUACUUGUUUAAUUUAGUGUAAAUAUAACAACGUCUUGCCAAUAAUAACCUUUUAUGAAUAUUGUGAAGACGAUAUUGAUUUUGACCGUAAAGCCCAUCUCGCAAAGGGGCUAGUUAAAGCCAUCAGAAGUAGUCGUCAAGAAUGAGGAAGAAAAUUGCCAACAAUUUAAAUGUUGAGAGAAGACGAAGAGAACGAAGAGAUAGUAUACCAAGACCACAAAUCUAUUUUGAAUGCAGUUUGGACAACUAUGAUUUUUAUAUGAAAAAUUGUAUUACCAUGUUUAAGAUAAUUGUGUACUUCAUAAUAUUUUUUAAUGUAAUAAUAUAGUUAUAUUAUUAAGAUGAUUAA